UAACAGUAGAAAUUUUCUUUUGACAACCAAAUCACAAGGAAUUUAAAGAUUUCGAAUUGAUUACUGGUAACUUUUUCAUAUGUAUUAUUCAUGAAGAUUAAUAAAUUAAAAGCAGCCAAGGCUUUGACAAUGUAUUCUUUCCUAGACUGUAGGAACUGAAAUUGCAGAAUUCUGCCAAUAUAAUGAUACAAAUGAUUACCCAAUGGACUUUAUUUAAAUAUGUAUCAACAAAUGGCUUGUGUGAUCAUAUAAACAAUUUAAUAAUUAUUUCCCCAUCAAACACUAUAACUAAUGCUUUUCUUAUGGAACUUUGUUGCCUGCUUUAUUUAUUUUUACGUAUUUUUACUUUUAUUUGAAAGGCAGAGAGACAGAGAUCUCCCAUAUACUGGUUUACUCCCCAAAUGCCUGCAAUAGCCAUGCUGGGGCCAGGCCAAAACUAGUAGUCUGGAACUCAAUCUAGUUCUGCCACCUGGGUGGCAGGGACCCCCAUAAUUGAGCCAUCAUUGGUUGCAUCCCAGGGUGGCAACAACAAGAAGCUGAAAUUGGAAUUGGAAUCGGGACAUGAACCUAGGCUCUCUGAUAUGGAGCAUGGAUAUUCCAAGUAUGGUCUUAAUCAUUGUAGUAAGAUGAUCCAUCCCUGCCAUAUGUUAGAAGUAGCUUUGCUUCUAUUGAAUUUUUCAUUGACUCUGACUCUUAAUUUUGUACAUAAUAUUUACCUGCUAACUUUCCAGAUGAAGAUAAUAAUUACAGGAGCAAGACUUAUAUACAUGGAUCGUGGUACUACUGGAUCACUAUACAAAAAAUACAUUCAUGGGAGCUGGUGUUGUGAUAGAGCAGGUUAAGUCACCACCUGAGAUACCUGCAUCCUAUUUUAGUGCCAGUUCAAGGGCUGCUCCACUUCCAGUUCAGCUCCCUGCCAAUGACCCUGGGGAAGCAGCAGAGGAUAGCACAAGUACUUGGGCCCCUGCACCCACAUGGGAGACUCAGAUGAAGCUACUGAUUCAUGGCUUCAAUUUGACCCAGCCUCAGCCCCAGCCAUUGCAGUCAUUUGGGAAGUGAGGCAGAAGAUGGAAGAUUCUCUCUCUCUCUCUCUCUCUCUCUCUCUCUCUCUCCUCUCUCUUUAACUCUGCCUUUCAAAUACAUAAAUAAAUUUUAAAAAAUGUAUUCA
rnacentral:lncRNA from 1 species